UACAGAGGUCCCGAGCGUUGUUCGGAUUCACUGGGCGUAAAGGGUGCGUAGGUGGCAAGGUAAGUUUGAUGUGAAAUCUCCGGGCUUAACCCGGAAAUGGCAUUGAAUACUAUCUCGCUUGAGAGUUGUAGGGGGGACUGGAAUUCUCGGUGUAGCAGUGAAAUGCGUAGAUAUCGAGAGGAACACCAGUGGCGAAGGCGAGUCCCUGGACAACUUCUGACACUGAGGCACGAAAGCUAGGGGAG
rnacentral:rRNA from 1 species